CAAAUACGGCUAAAAAUAAAACAUAAGGAUCUUAUAUCUCUAUUGCGUUAAUUUAGCCGACAUUACCCGUGACGAAGCUCUGGUUCUUCUUCCAGAAGCUGUUUGAAUGUACGUUUCCAAGAGGAACAUAUGUAUUGUUAAAAAUUUUCUGCUCACAAAAGGUAGAAAAUUCUAAAAUUUGUCUCAGCAUUGGCCAACAAAAAAUAUUCUGUUUCUUUUAAUGUAUUUAAAGAAAAAAAUAAACCAAAAAGUUGCUUGAAAUACAAAAUGUACUCCAACCAUAUUCCAAGAAGUGCUUUAGUUAGACAAUUAUAUCUACAAUUUUUACAUAUUAUCAGAUUUGCUUUAUAUAAACUUAAAAAAUAUUUUCUUUCUGCGAUUAAUCAUCAAUAUGGAAAGAAACAAUCAAAGC
rnacentral:lncRNA from 1 species